GGGGGAGUAUGGUCGCAAGGCUAAAACUUAAAGGAAUUGAUGAAAGGGAACUACCAGGAGUGGAGCCUGCGACUUAAUUUGACUCAACAUGGGGAAACUUACCAGGUCCAGACAUAGUAAGGAUUUAAAGACUGAGAGCUCUUUCUUGAUUCUAUGGGUGGUGGUGCAUGGCCGUUCUUAGUUGGUGAAGCCAUUUGUCUGGUUAAUUCCGUUAACGAACGAGACCUCGGCUUGCUAACUAGCUAUGCGGAGGUAUCCCUUCGCGGCCAGCUUCUUAGAGGGACUACGGCCUUUUAGGCCGCGGAAGUUUAAGGCAAUAUCAGGUCUAUGAUGCCCUUAGAUGUCCUAGGCCGCACGCGUGCUACACUGAUGUAUUCAACGAGUUUAUAACCUUGAACGACAGGCCCAGGUAAUCUUUGAAAUUUCAUAGUGAUGGUUAUAGAUCAUUGCAAUUGUUGGUCUUCAACGGGGAAUUGCUAGUAAGCGCGAGUCAUCAGCUUGCGUUAACUACGUCCCUGCCCUGUUGGCAUUUCGCUGCCCGCAACGUCGUGAGAAGUCCAUUGAACCUUAUCAUUUAGAGAAAGAAGAAGUCGUAACAAGGUUUCCAUAGGUGAACCUGCGGAAG
rnacentral:ncRNA from 1 species